CGAACGGAAAGGCCCGCAGCUUGCUGCGGGUACUCGAGUGGCGAACGGGUGAGUAACACGUGGGUGAUCUGCCUUGCACUUCGGGAUAAGCUUGGGAAACUGGGUCUAAUACCGGAUAGGACAGCUGUUUAGUGUCAGUUGUGGAAAGUUUUUUCGGUGCAAGAUGAGCUCGCGGCCUAUCAGCUUGUUGGUGGGGUAAUGGCCUACCAAGGCGUCGACGGGUAGCCGGCCUGAGAGGGUGUACGGCCACAUUGGGACUGAGAUACGGCCCAGACUCCUACGGGAGGCAGCAGUGGGGAAUAUUGCACAAUGGGCGGAAGCCUGAUGCAGCGACGCCGCGUGGGGGAUGAAGGCCUUCGGGUUGUAAACUCCUUUCGACAGGGACGAAGCGUAAGUGACGGUACCUGUAUAAGAAGCACCGGCUAACUACGUGCCAGCAGCCGCGGUAAUACGUAGGGUGCGAGCGUUGUCCGGAAUUACUGGGCGUAAAGAGCUCGUAGGUGGUUUGUCGCGUCGUCUGUGAAAUUCCGGGGCUUAACUCCGGGCGUGCAGGCGAUACGGGCUGACUUGAGUGCUGUAGGGGAGACUGGAAUUCCUGGUGUAGCGGUGAAAUGCGCAGAUAUCAGGAGGAACACCGAUGGCGAAGGCAGGUCUCUGGGCAGUAACUGACGCUGAGGAGCGAAAGCAUGGGUAGCGAACAGGAUUAGAUACCCUGGUAGUCCAUGCCGUAAACGGUGGGCGCUAGGUGUAGGGGGCUUCCACGUCUUCUGUGCCGUAGCUAACGCAUUAAGCGCCCCGCCUGGGGAGUACGCCCAAG
rnacentral:rRNA from 1 species